rnacentral:rRNA from 1 species
UACAGGGGGGGCAAGCGUUGUUCGGAAUUACUGGGCGUAAAGCGCGCGUAGGCGGACCUGCAAGUCGGGGGUGAAAGCCCGAGGCUCAACCUCGGAACUGCCUUCGAUACUGCGGGUCUCGAGUCCGGGAGAGGUGAGUGGAAUUCCUAGUGUAGAGGUGAAAUUCGUAGAUAUUAGGAAGAACACCAGUGGCGAAGGCGGCUCACUGGCCCGGUACUGACGCUGAGGCGCGAAAGCGUGGGGAGCAAACAGG